rnacentral:rRNA from 1 species
UCGAGAAUUUUUCACAAUGGGGGAAACCCUGAUGGAGCGACGCCGCGUGGGGGAUGAAUGGCUUCGGCCCGUAAACCCCUGUCAUUCGCGAUCAAGGCGUAUUAUUUAAAAGAUGAUGCGUUGAUAGUAGCGGAAGAGGAAGGGACGGCUAACUCUGUGCCAGCAGCCGCGGUAAUACAGAGGUCCCAAGCGUUGUUCGGAUUCACUGGGCGUAAAGGGUGCGUAGGUGGUGAGGUAAGUCGGAUGUGAAAGCUCGGAGCUCAACUCCGAAAAGGCAUUGGAAACGACCUUGCUAGAGGGUUGGAGGGGGGACUGGAAUUCUCGGUGUAGCAGUGAAAUGCGUAGAUAUCGAGAGGAACACCAGUGGCGAAGGCGAGUCCCUGGACAACCCCUGACACUGAGGCACGAAAGCUAGGGGAGCAAACA